rnacentral:rRNA from 1 species
UUGAACGCUGGCGGCAGGCCUAACACAUGCAAGUCGAGCGGUAGCACAGAGAGCUUGCUCUCGGGUGACGAGCGGCGGACGGGUGAGUAAUGUCUGGGAAACUGCCUGAUGGAGGGGGAUAACUACUGGAAACGGUAGCUAAUACCGCAUAACGUCGCAAGACCAAAGUGGGGGACCUUCGGGCCUCAUGCCAUCAGAUGUGCCCAGAUGGGAUUAGCUAGUAGGUGGGGUAACGGCUCACCUAGGCGACGAUCCCUAGCUGGUCUGAGAGGAUGACCAGCCACACUGGAACUGAGACACGGUCCAGACUCCUACGGGAGGCAGCAGUGGGGAAUAUUGCACAAUGGGCGCAAGCCUGAUGCAGCCAUGCCGCGUGUGUGAAGAAGGCCUUCGGGUUGUAAAGCACUUUCAGCGGGGAGGAAGGCGAUAAGGUUAAUAACCUUGUCGAUUGACGUUACCCGCAGAAGAAGCACCGGCUAACUCCGUGCCAGCAGCCGCGGUAAUACGGAGGGUGCAAGCGUUAAUCGGAAUUACUGGGCGUAAAGCGCACGCAGGCGGUCUGUCAAGUCGGAUGUGAAAUCCCCGGGCUCAACCUGGGAACUGCAUUCGAAACUGGCAGGCUAGAGUCUUGUAGAGGGGGGUAGAAUUCCAGGUGUAGCGGUGAAAUGCGUAGAGAUCUGGAGGAAUACCGGUGGCGAAGGCGGCCCCCUGGACAAAGACUGACGCUCAGGUGCGAAAGCGUGGGGAGCAAACAGGAUUAGAUACCCUGGUAGUCCACGCCGUAAACGAUGUCGAUUUGGAGGUUGUGCCCUUGAGGCGUGGCUUCCGGAGCUAACGCGUUAAAUCGACCGCCUGGGGAGUACGGCCGCAAGGUUAAAACUCAAAUGAAUUGACGGGGGCCCGCACAAGCGGUGGAGCAUGUGGUUUAAUUCGAUGCAACGCGAAGAACCUUACCUGGUCUUGACAUCCACAGAACUUUCCAGAGAUGGAUUGGUGCCUUCGGGAACUGUGAGACAGGUGCUGCAUGGCUGUCGUCAGCUCGUGUUGUGAAAUGUUGGGUUAAGUCCCGCAACGAGCGCAACCCUUAUCCUUUGUUGCCAUCGGUUAGGCCGGGAACUCAAAGGAGACUGCCAGUGAUAAACUGGAGGAAGGUGGGGAUGACGUCAAGUCAUCAUGGCCCUUACGACCAGGGCUACACACGUGCUACAAUGGCAUAUACAAAGAGAAGCGACCUCGCGAGAGCAAGCGGACCUCAUAAAGUAUGUCGUAGUCCGGAUUGGAGUCUGCAACUCGACUCCAUGAAGUCGGAAUCGCUAGUAAUCGUAGAUCAGAAUGCUACGGUGAAUACGUUCCCGGGCCUUGUACACACCGCCCGUCACACCAUGGGAGUGGGUUGCAAAAGAAGUAGGUAGCUUAACCUUCGGGAGGGCGCUUACCACUUUGUGAUUCAUGACUGGGGUG